rnacentral:tRNA from 1 species
GGCCGGGCUGGAGCAGCCUGGUAGCUCGUCGGGCUCAUAACCCGAAGGUCGUCGGUUCAAAUCCGGCCCCCGCAACCA